rnacentral:tRNA from 1 species
UAGGAGGUAGUAUAAUUGGUAGUACAUGAGGUUUUGGGCCUUGUGGCACAGGUUCGUAGCCUGUCUUUCUA